rnacentral:rRNA from 1 species
UACGAGAGGUCCAAACGUUAUUCGGAAUCACUGGGCUUACAGAGUUCGUAGGCGGUCCAGAAAGUGGGGUGUGAAAGCCCUCGGCUCAACCGAGGAACUGCGCUCCAAACUACUGGGCUAGAGGAAGAUAGAGGUGAGCAGAACUGAUGGUGGAGCGGUGAAAUGCGUUGAUAUCAUCAGGAAUACCGGAGGCGAAGGCGGCUCACUGGGUCUUUUCUGACGCUGAGGAACGAAGGCUAGGGGAGCAAACGGG